GUGAGAAGCAUUUUUUUCUUUUUUUCUUCUCUUUUUCUGGAGACAUGUCUGUGGCCCCCACAGGUGUGUCGCCAUGGCUUGUAACCAAGGAGGGGGCUCAAGUGCUGACUGCACAGAAAACAGCUACUCUGUAUUUCUCAAACAUCUUCAAGGUCCCGGUGGAGGGAUAAAUGGCCAACAGGAGGUGGUUUACCUAGUGAGACAGAUCUGGAGCUUAACAGGGUUCCAGCAUGCAGCAGCAGGAUGUCGGGGCUCUUUGCACUCGCUGUUCCUUUUUCCUAUGCAUAUACCUCUUUGAGAUGUAACUUUAAAGAGGCAUAGGGCAUGGGAAAAUGGGGCUGCAGAGGUAUUCCACCAGGCAGACAACCAUUUCAUCAUCCUCUCCACAUGACAGCUGACCUCCAAGCCCACACACACCCCGGGCUACAGCGUUUGACGCUUCAGACAACUCCAGACUGCAAAAGCUGACACAUUGAUUAUCAGGUGAUUUUUUUGUGGCUCUGUGGCUUUGUAAUUUAAUGAUCUAAGUUAAAAUUCAUCAUAUUAAUCCAUGAGCACGGCAAGAAGGUGAUGUGAUGUGGCAGAAUUGGUGUCUAAACUAUAUUGCUAUGCACUUUGUUAUUCCAAAUAUCUGUUUGCCUCUCAUUUUAUUGCUGUUUUAUUGUUUUUGAAUAAAGAAAACUCAGCUAAGUAUUUCUGUUCAGCAAAUAGCAUACUGCUUUUUUGGCAGCUGUUUAACUUGGGAUUCUGUUCAACAAAUUAUGUUGUACCAUAUUGUAUUAUUGGCAGCUCAUAUAUUUUCAAGAGGCUGCACCAUCAAAUAAAGACAUUUUAAACUUC